rnacentral:rRNA from 1 species
GCUACUUUGCUGACGAGCGGCGGACGGGUGAGUAAUGCCUGGGAAUAUGCCUUGAUGUGGGGGAUAACUAUUGGAAACGAUAGCUAAUACCGCAUAAUGUCUUCGGACCAAAGAGGGGGAUCUUCGGACCUCUCGCGUCAAGAUUAGCCCAGGUGAGAUUAGCUAGUUGGUGGGGUAAGAGCUCACCAAGGCGACGAUCUCUAGCUGGUCUGAGAGGAUGAUCAGCCACACUGGAACUGAGACACGGUCCAGACUCCUACGGGAGGCAGCAGUGGGGAAUAUUGCACAAUGGGCGAAAGCCUGAUGCAGCCAUGCCGCGUGUAUGAAGAAGGCCUUCGGGUUGUAAAGUACUUUCAGUCGUGAGGAAGGGUAUGCAGUUAAUAGCUGCACAUCUUGACGUUAGCGACAGAAGAAGCACCGGCUAACUCCGUGCCAGCAGCCGCGGUAAUACGGAGGGUGCGAGCGUUAAUCGGAAUUACUGGGCGUAAAGCGCAUGCAGGUGGUUCAUUAAGUCAGAUGUGAAAGCCCGGGGCUCAACCUCGGAACCGCAUUUGAAACUGGUGAACUAGAGUGCUGUAGAGGGGGGUAGAAUUUCAGGUGUAGCGGUGAAAUGCGUAGAGAUCUGAAGGAAUACCAGUGGCGAAGGCGGC